UCGAGUCAACUCUCUUUAUUUUUCUCUUAGCUCUCUAUCUCUCUUGCUCUCUCUCCGAUCUCCCUCUCCUCGAUCUACACACACACACCUACCUCCACACCCAAAACAUCACGAUACCACCACCAACUCGAGAGGACCACCCUUCUCUCUCCCUCGUCUUUGUGCAGCACCAAAGGAACUGGUGCAAAAUCUUAGAGAUUCCGGCGAACCCCUGUGGGUUUUGAGCAAGACCCGGCCACCUCUGACCAUUUCACGGCAAAUCAAAGGUGCGAAUAUUAACGGCGAUUCCGUCUUUUCUAGUUUGGACGGCUCUUCGACGACGGAGUAUUUGCGAAGAUAGGAGUUGGCUUCUGGUUGAGAGAAAUAAUCUCUAGCUUUGGGCGCAGAGACAUGGUAGUUGGUUGUACGGGCCAAGAGAUAUAAUUAUUGAACACCACGGGUGGCUAGGAUACUACUAGUUAGCACACUAUAUACGAGAUAUGUUUUAUGAAGGUUUUAUGGCAUGCUAGGGUUUCGGAAACCUAUUACAUAUUAUGCUAUGAGUUUUCAUUAAAUUUUGGGGGUUAGUAUGU